AAGAAGAUAGCAUAAAUAGAGAAGAGACGAUGAUAACCAAACAGGCUUCAUUUGGGGCAGGCCAUAGAGAAUAGGCACUUUGGAAUAAGAGUCAGGGGAAAGGUCAUGUUCAUCAUCAAUGGCUGCCAGUGGAUGACCCAAAACACUAGGUAGGACCAACUAUACCUCAGUCAGGAAGCCAAAACUGUACCAUAGUGAAGGAAGUGAGAUUGGACACGAGGGUAUAGAGACCCUGGGUUAAGAAAUCUCAGUUGGAAAAAAAAAGUCUCAGUUGGGUUAAGAAGUCACAAUUGACAUCAACCAUACGUCAUAGAAGACCAGGCCCUCCAUCCCAAAUGCAGCCAUGACAUAUAAAUGUUUCUUGUAUGGCCUGAUGCCAUUUUGGAAAGCAAGACAGCAUAGAAGAGAAGAGAGAGAAAACCCCUGAGGAAAUAAACAAAUAUCCAGAAGAGACCUUUACAAACCUUGAGGCUGAGAUACCAUCAUUUGCAAGAAAAAAAUCUUGUACCUCUGAUCUACAUUGAUGGGGGAGAAAAAGGGAGAAAGAUAAAGUGAUGGAUAUGAAUGCAUGGAGAAAUCUCCAGGAAGUUCAUAUUUAAAGGACUCUUGAAAAAAUGAAAAAAGAAAUACGACGCAAAGGCAGAAGGAGGAGGAGGAGGACAAGAAGAAGAGGAGGAGGAGGAGGAGGGGAAGGAAGAGGUAGAGGUGAAAGGAGGAGGGGGAGGAGGGGAAUUUGUGGAGGAGGAAGAAGGGGAAAUAACUGGGAGGAGUACCAAGGAAUAUAUGGAAAUGUCAGUGAAGCUAAAAGUUCACAAGAUACUGAGGCUUGUGAAAAUUAUGAAUAGCAAAAAAAAAAAAAAAAGACUUGUAAGUUAAGGAAACAAGAAUGGGGUACACAGCUACACCUUGGGGUGAGUGGCACAAUGCUACUGAAUAGAAAAAAAUUAAAUUCAGCUACAGAA